GUCGCUGUAGCUCAGUUGAAUAGAGCAAUUGCCUUCUAAGCAAUCGGUCGUAGGUUUGAGUCCUACCAGCGACGCCA
rnacentral:tRNA from 1 species